AUCAAAACAAACUGCAUUUCACCUUGUCGCAGAACUAUAUGCUAAACAAUAGUGAAAACUGCAGAAAAACACUGAUUUACUCUAAUCUAUUGUGCGAAUUCGUUAAAUCGAACAGUGGCAUAGUCAAUAGAUUGAAAGCAUGUACACACUACUCAGUGGUUUCUACAAAUAUCUCACACAGAAGGAUGAAUAUUGCAUACUGAUUCUGGGACUGGAUAACGCUGGCAAAACGACUUACCUGGAGGCAGCGAAGACCAAAUUUACGAAAAACUACCGAGGAAUGAAUCCGAGCAAAAUCACCACUACCGUAGGACUUAAUAUAGGCCAGAUCGACAUCAUGGGUGUUCGGAUGAGUUUCUGGGAUCUGGGUGGCCAGCAGGAGCUGCAGUCGCUGUGGGAUAAGUAUUAUUCCGAGUCGCAUGCCGUGAUCUAUGUGGUGGAUUCCAACGACCGAGAACGAAUGCACGAGUCGAAAGAGGUCUUCGAUAGAAUGAUUGGCAAUGAGUAUCUCUCAGGGGUACCGCUGCUGGUGCUGGCUAACAAACAAGACUUGCCCGACUGCAUGGGGGUUCGAGAGAUUAAACCCGUAUUUCAGGAGGCUGGCCAUUUGAUCGGGCGGCGGGAUUGUCUGGUGAUGCCCGUAUCAGCACUGACGGGGGAAGGCGUAGACGAAGGUAUAAAAUGGCUUGUGGAGUCUAUUAAACGAAAUUCUUUUGCACGUCCUCCAAAGUCGGAGGACACUUGAUCAACUAGGAUUUCGCUCUCAUCGAGUGCAAUGACGUUUUACUCGGUAUAUUUAUACCGUUUAUUUAUUCCAUAUUAAGAAAAUACCCUCAUCCUCAUCAAGGUUAUCCUUCGGGACGAAGGCACAAUCAUCGGUAUUGCCCCACUUGGCGGCUUCUCCUCCACGUACCUUUACAUUGUAGCAUACAUUUUCGCUUUUGAG